GGGCCUAGAACGCAGCGCUCCGCGAAUUCAAAAAGGCGGGGACGCGAGGCAAAAAAACCGAGAGACGUUAGGUUCCUCGUUUCCACGGUAACCGCAGAGGCCUCUUCUCUCCCGUCGCGACCUCCGGCCGUGAGAAUAGUUUCUCUCUUCCCGCUUUUCCUCUCCCCGAACCUUCAGGCUUCGUUUUGAAAGGUGUGACACCUGUUGGUGUUGAAGCGGCCAGGAUUUGAAAACUUUCGACCACAGCGUUCCUCAUGAUGGCUGAGAACAGAACAGAGAGUAGGGUUAAAGAAGAUGGUGAUGCUAGCAUACAGGAUUUUAAUUAUAGUACAAAAUAACAAAACUCACCUUCAACCAGGUAUGAGAGAAUAUAUUUAUUAUUCCAUCUUGGGGUUUAAAAUUGUUCAAGCAGGACAUCAAAAGGGCAUGUUUUAAGUAAAUAUUUCAAAGGAUUUUCAAAGCAGUUAGCACAAUCGUAUACAUGCCUGCUCAAAGGCAAGUCCCAUUGAUUUCAAUGGAAUGUAUGCCAAAGUAAGUGAGUAUAGGAUUGCAGCCUAAUUCACCAAGAUCCAAACAAUUUACUUUAGGAUUUGCACACAUGUAUAAAGUUUCAUUUUUCUAUUUUCAAAACGGCAAGCAAAAUGUUCACAAAUAACUUUUUAAAAACUCAUCUGAGUUUUAAAAGCAGCAAUGUGCCAUGGGGUCUUCAGUCCCAGAAACAAAUGCAAAGCCCCUACCCCACACAUGUUAUUCGGAUGUUUAAUCAACUGGCCUUGAUUAAAGAUUUCUGCUGUGUAGCAAAAAAAAUCUUCCCCUUCUUCUGGAACAUUACAAUUCAUUAUUUCUGCAUACUGAACUACUAUUGUUACCGGUAUUACAUGGUGCAUUACGGUAACUCUCACAGUAUUAUUUCUCCAAAUAUUUUGAGGGACGAUAUCAGAAUGCAUCAAUAGCAAAGCUCAAAGGAAUCUGUAUUAGAUAAUAAAGGGCUUGAAUCCAAAGCUUAUUUAACAGGAGGAUCCUCACAUAAGACGGUGCUGUGAUUUUGGCUUCCUGCUAGUAAUUCUUCUCAGAGCAGCUAUAGGUGCCCUUUUCUACUCACAUGUCUCCCAAGAUAAAUGAAAUUUAGGUUUAACUUCUAACCCAUAUUUUAAACAAGGAAAUAAUGACUUUAAAAAGCCAACAACCUUUAAGUUACAAUACAUUAGGCCACAUCAAUAUUUGAGCAAGUUCCUUGCUAGACUUUAAAAUGUGAUUUAUAAAUAUUAGCAUAUGUUAAAAGAGGCAAUAGGGUAUUUUUCACCUUUACCCACAGCAGGGAAAGUCAGCUUUCUAUGCUUGGAAAGCCAUACCCCCACUCUCACCAUCCAUCAAGCAACAA